CAGUCGCCGCGGGAAUACGGAGGUCCCAAGCGUUGUUCGGAUUCAUUGGGCGUAAAGGGUGCGUAGGCGGCGGAGUAAGUUUGAUGUGAAAUCCCGGGGCUCAACCUCGGAACUGCAUUGAAUACUGCUUUGCUAGAGUACUGGAGAGGAAACUGGAAUUUACGGUGUAGCAGUGAAAUGCGUAGAGAUCGUAAGGAAGACCAGUGGCGAAGGCGAGUUUCUGGACAGUUACUGACGCUGAGGCACGAAGGCCAGGGGAGCAAACGGGAUUAGAUACCCCUGUAGUCCCUGUCUCUUAUAC
rnacentral:rRNA from 1 species